CAAGCGGUGGAGCAUGUGGUUUAAUUCGAUGCAACGCGAAGAACCUUACCUACUCUUGACAUCCAGCGAACUUAGCAGAGAUGCUUUGGUGCCUUCGGGAACGCUGAGACAGGUGCUGCAUGGCUGUCGUCAGCUCGUGUUGUGAAAUGUUGGGUUAAGUCCCGCAACGAGCGCAACCCUUAUCCUUUGUUGCCAGCGAUACGGUCGGGGACUCAAAGGAGACUGCCGGUGAUAAACCGGAGGAAGGUGGGGAUGAUGUCAAGUCAUCAUGGCCCUUACGAGUAGGGCUACACACGUGCUACAAUGGCGCAUACAAAGAGAAGCGACCUCGCGAGAGCAAGCGGACCUCAGAAAGUGCGUCGUAGUCCGGAUCGGAGUCUGCAACUCGACUCCGUGAAGUCGGAAUCGCUAGUAAUCGUGGAUCAGAAUGCCACGGUGAAUACGUUCCCGGGCCUUGUACUCACC
rnacentral:rRNA from 1 species